rnacentral:rRNA from 1 species
UGGGGAAUAUUGCACAAUGGGCGCAAGCCUGAUGCAGCAACGCCGCGUGAGGGACGACGGCCUUCGGGUUGUAAACCUCUUUUAGUAGGGAAGAAGCGAAAGUGACGGUACCUGCAGAAAAAGCACCGGCUAACUACGUGCCAGCAGCCGCGGUAAUACGUAGGGUGCGAGCGUUGUCCGGAAUUAUUGGGCGUAAAGAGCUCGUAGGCGGUCUGUCGCGUCUGCUGUGAAAACCCGAGGCUCAACCUCGGGCCUGCAGUGGGUACGGGCAGACUAGAGUGCGGUAGGGGAGAAUGGAAUUCCUGGUGUAGCGGUGGAAUGCGCAGAUAUCAGGAGGAACACCGAUGGCGAAGGCAGUUCUCUGGGCCGUAACUGACGCUGAGGAGCGAAAGCGUGGGGAGCGAACAGGAUUAGAUACCCUGGGUAGUCCACGCCGUAAACGUUGGGCGCUAGAUGUGGGGACCAUUCCACGGUUUCCGUG